CCUCUCACUCAUUCAUCCAUUCAUCAACAAAACCACCUCCCAAUCUCCUCCGACUUAACCAAAUCAAUCGAACUAAUCGAACCACUGUUAAACCAUCAUCGUUUCUAGUUUUCUGAGUAAGAUCGAUCAUGGGUUUCUUGUCACGAAGGAAGAUGUCGAACGCAGUGGUUUACUCGAUUCUAUUGGGUUUGGUUAUUCUAUCGGCAUCGGUUUUCCCUUAUGCUGAAACGAGACCACUGAAGGAAAAUGGUGGCAACGACAAUUUGUUUAUACUACAGUCUCUACAGAAGGGUCCGGUUAGCGGGUCGGGUCCGAACCCAUGCACCAACAUCGGCGGUCGGAACCCGGGAUCAUGCACCCGUGCGGCUGUCGGGGCCAUGAACUUUGCCGGCAAUGUCUUCGUCCGCCCGCCGCCUACUCCACCCGUUGUCGCAGCAAGUUAAUAUAGUUUUUUUGUUCUUUUUAACUAUAGUUUUUGUGGUUUUGUGUUUUUUAACUUUUGAUUUGAUUCAUGGUACGGAUACGAAUGUAAACAAUUGAACAACUCAUUGAAAUCUAUAAUUACAUAGAUAUUCAUUUGGAUGGUGAUUAAAUUCGAAUUUGAUACUUCUUGUGUUAUUAACUAUAUUAUUUCACUUGAACAUAACAUGUCAUUUGAAUUCCAUACGAGUCAAAUUGUGAGAUUGUAG
rnacentral:lncRNA from 1 species